GUUUACAAAAAAUGCGGAAGGGGGUCACUAAUACAUAUGAGCAUACGAACAUAUGUGCGAAACUUUUUCAACUAUUUCGUUUUGUUCUAUUCAGAAAACAAAAUAAAGCCGUGAAACGACGGCCAUGUAAUGGAAUUUGGUACAGGUGACAACCAACGCGAGCAGUAAUUGGAGUCGUAAUUGGAGCUGGCAUCUGGGAGAUGGUUGAAAAUGUCGUGGAUUUAAUUUGCAUUAAUUAAGUAAUCGAAGUAUUUGACCUCCUUCCAGUUGGAUCGGCUCUUCUUCAGUCGUGAAUGAUACGGAAUGGUUUAUUAUACUGGAGACACGUUCGUCAACAAGUUUGGUAAAAAUACCUUCGAACGUUAGGAGGGAUUAGUUUGCUUCUAGCGCCGAUUGAGUAAUCGGCACAGAUAUAUACCUUCUCGUCAGGUUUCCUAGCGCUGCGCAUCUCGUUUCAGGUUCAGUGCAGUGACCCAAUCGGUCUUAAAAAUCGUCGGGAAAACCGAGUAGUGUGCAGCAAGAUGUAUAGAAGUAUUACUACUAGGUGGGCCAAUCUGCUAAAACCACUCUGCAGCCAUCUUGAAAGUCUACUGUGUUUUGUUUACAAACAAAACACAAUACGUUUUUUAUAACCAAAUUGCCAUGCGAUACGGCCAUUUACAUUACAGACGUCUCUUCAUUGAAAACGAAUGAUUUCAAUAGAUCUUGUUGAUCUUUUUUUUUUGUUUAAUCGGGCUUUUUCAACGCAUGAAGACACAAGCACGGAUAAAAAAGCAGAUUCGUUGAAAAUUGGAGAUAUAAUCCCGGUUGAAGCAUCUUCACAUUCGUUUUUAGACCCGGUCCCACAACGAGUGGUGCAUUCUUUUGGAGCUUCUACAUAUCUACAAUAUCUCCCGUAACGGCUCGUGAUCUGCGUUUUUUAACGGAAUGUUUUAGAUGGACUAUUACUCCGGCACUUCCACCCUCAGUGGCCAGUGGCAUCCCAGAAAGACGGGUGUCGCGUCCCUGUACUGAGCCCAAAUCAUACGCUGAAACGCUAGAUAGUGUUGCUACCAGCUAAAGCUAAUGAUCGUUCGUUCAAUGGUGCUGCUGCUGCAGCUGCUACUGCCACUCCAGCCACAGUACUGUCCAAAUAUGAGGAUGACCAGUGUAUCGUACCAAAAAUUGACAGUCGCAGAAAAUUUUGAAACGGGAACAAGGUUUGAAGAAUCUUCAGGGAGAACUUCGCAACGAAGAAACUAUGUUGAUGUUAUUGAAGAAGUUGAAACAGUCUCAACACGUAAUGAUUAUGGAAAAUUGCAUCGUGACUUCAAGUAAUACAAACAUGAACAACCCUCGAGCUUCGAUACCAGUCCCCUAACGAAAGGGUUACUCAGUGCGGUCGCAUUUCCAGCUCAUUCGAAAAACAUAAUUCAUGGGUCACCUAUCAAUAUCGCGAAACCGCUUCAACGUUUACUUUUACUCCCGGGAGGUACUUAUUAUACUGCGACAUAUGUUACCUAUUGGAGCAAUCCGAACAGGGUCCAAUCUAAUCAUCACACCGUCAGUGACGAUAACUCCUACGAGCGCACCUUCGAAUAGUGUAAAACUCAAAGCUGGAGAAAACCUUGCUAUAGAUCCCACCGCUCAAACCCAAAAUGCACUUCAUUCCGAAUGGAUGCCACCGGAGGUGGCUGUUGGAUGAUAUACAAUGAUUCCGUGGAUCAGGCAAUGAGCUAUUUUAGAAGGGAACAAUACGACGUGCUUAUAGAAGAUUACUAUAAUAUGCUUUCCCCGGAGUUCCUUCCAGCUGUGGGGACAGAAGGUGGAUGUCGUCUUUUGCACAUCAAUUACAAUUUGUCGUUCGGAUUCUGUUUCUCCUUGCGGCACGAACACAUAUAUAUUUUGGUUCAACAACACAUGGUUCUAAAGGACAUCCGUGCAAGAACAUGCAAAGCAGGGAUUGUUAUAGUGAUACACUUUCUCAUUGGGAAGAGAAAUUCUGUGAGUGCGCGUGCGAGUGUGGUUGUAACGAGCGCGCACCGAUGAAGGGGCAAUCUUUUUUUUACGCGAUUCUCUUGAAAUUACGCAAUAUUUUCACGCAUUUUUUGUGAGCACAUCAGUUGCGUGAAAAAUAAUUCAGUUUACUUAUUAUUAUCAUCCUUCACUUACUAGAAGUGAUACUGAUAGCAACUGCAUGUGUAAUUACUGGAAAGGUUUGCCGACCAACAGACCUAUUAGUAAACUUGAGGUAUGGAAAGUAUCGUGUUUGGGCAUUGUGUACUUCGAGUUUGGUGUCGAUUUACCACCGCUCGUGCAGAAGCGACCAAGGUUACAGUAAAACCUUCCGGAGUAAAAGGUUCAUUGCACUGAUUCACAACAUCGUAUAUAACAAUGAACAAAUGUUGAUGGUUUAGAAAGGAUACCAAGAAGGAUAAGCUAUGCUCUUGAGUAACAUUGAAUAUGCUGAUGUGUAAUGAACAUCCGGAUGAGGACGUUGAGGACCGGCAAAUGUUUUCCGAUACGGUUGAGAUGCGAGCGGGAAGAAUUAUUGCAGAAUUUAUUAGAAAAUUAAUUUGCUAUUUCGCAAAACCGAUGGGUCGGAAUAAGGUGAUCGAUGUAAAGUUCAGCGGGGAUGAUAGUGAAGAGAAAAAUCUAUAGACCAGAAAAAAGAGUUAAUGAAAAAAAUGUUCAUUUAAGUACGUUAAACGUUUUUAAUUCGAGCAGUAACGACACUGCUUUGCUCAUUGAUAAAUAAUUGACCUGCUAUUUGGAUUAAUAAGUGUGAACAUACUAUUUCGUAAAUUUAUAUGUACAUAUUUAAUAGAAUUAUGUAUUUAAAAAGAAAACUUUAAACUUUUUUUAUAUAAACAUUUAUGUAUUUCAGUAUUUUGCGGAAAAUCGGAACAAUUAUCUGAAUAAAUAUUGAUCGUGCUGAUCUGAAUAUUCAUUUUCGACAUUCAAGAUUUUAUUUAUUCCGAGAGAUGAUUCUAGUUUAAUGAUUGAAAAAUCUAUAUUUAGUUGUUCGACAUUUUUCUACGUUACAAUGUCUAGAAGUAUUGUAUUAAAAUUCAUCAUCAUAGUUUUAUAUAAACGAUCAUAGUUUUAUGACUAUAUUAAUUAAGACGUACGUUGCUAUUUAUAAUUAAUCAGUUAGAAAAAAUCGUGCUUAUCGCGUCUAUAGUUCUUUAAAAUAGCUUAAACGAUUUCAUUGCUUUUUUUUAUACUUCAUUAAAGAGCUGCUGGUAUACUUGCGCUCUCAGUGGCCGAACGAGAAGAGAAUGGAUGGAGUUCAGACGGCUACAAACCACCCAGUGACUGUUUCCCCGACGGCGGAAAAAAUCAACUGAUUGGUCAUUGGCGGAGGCUAUGAUAAACUCAACAAUAUGGUAGGAUGAUCCCACCGACACCCGCCCGUGUUCGGAGUUACCGACGCGACUGACUUCGUGGGAACCAGAUUCAGAUGCCAAUUGUUCAGCAGAACAAUUAGAAAAAAAGGAGAAACAUAGAAAAAAGCCUUCUGCAUGCUCACACAAAAACCGAAAAAGGGUAGCAAACAUUCUAUGGUUUCAUUUGUGAAUAUGUUAUUUAGAGUAUAUCGAUAACCAAAUAGCCUUGAAGGGAUAGAGUCGCUUGGUGAAUAGACAAAUAACAUUUGAGAAAACAGACGCAUAUUAUUAUUCAUUCUUCAAGCUUGUUUUAUUUUCUGAACUGAAUGUUUACUGCACACCAAGAUGUAUAGAAGUAUUACUAAGGUGAGUCCGUAUCUUCAGUAAGUUAGCGAGGGGAGUGGUGAGUAGCGAGGAGUGUGAGAGGGGAUUGUUUACAAAAAAUGCGGAAGGGGGUCACUAAUACAUAUGAGCAUACGAACAUAUGUGCGAAACUUUUUCAACUAUUUCGUUUUGUUCUAUUCAGAAAACAAAAUAAAGCCGUGAAACGACGGCCAUGUAAUGGAAUUUGGUACAGGUGACAACCAACGCGAGCAGUAAUUGGAGUCGUAAUUGGAGCUGGCAUCUGGGAGAUGGUUGAAAAUGUCGUGGAUUUAAUUUGCAUUAAUUAAGUAAUCGAAGUAUUUGACCUCCUUCCAGUUGGAUCGGCUCUUCUUCAGUCGUGAAUGAUACGGAAUGGUUUAUUAUACUGGAGACACGUUCGUCAACAAGUUUGGUAAAAAUACCUUCGAACGUUAGGAGGGAUUAGUUUGCUUCUAGCGCCGAUUGAGUAAUCGGCACAGAUAUAUACCUUCUCGUCAGGUUUCCUAGCGCUGCGCAUCUCGUUUCAGGUUCAGUGCAGUGACCCAAUCGGUCUUAAAAAUCGUCGGGAAAACCGAGUAGUGUGCAGUAAACAUUCAGUUCAGAAAAUAAAACAAGCUUGAAGAAUGAAUAAUAAUAUGCGUCUGUUUUCUCAAAUGUU